UGCUUAACACAUGCAAGUCGAGCGAUGAAGUUCUUCGGGAAAUGGAUUAGCGGCGGACGGGUGAGUAACACGUGGGUAACCUGCCUCAUAGAGGGGAAUAGCCUUUCGAAAGGAAGAUUAAUACCGCAUAAGAUUGUAAUGUCGCAUGACAUAGCAAUUAAAGGAGCAAUCCGCUAUGAGAUGGACCCGCGUCGCAUUAGCUAGUUGGUGAGGUAACGGCUCACCAAGGCGACGAUGCGUAGCCGACCUGAGAGGGUGAUCGGCCACAUUGGGACUGAGACACGGCCCAGACUCCUACGGGAGGCAGCAGUGGGGAAUAUUGCACAAUGGGGGAAACCCUGAUGCAGCAACGCCGCGUGAGUGAUGACGGUCUUCGGAUUGUAAAGCUCUGUCUUUAGGGACGAUAAUGACGGUACCUAAGGAGGAAGCCACGGCUAACUACGUG
rnacentral:rRNA from 1 species